rnacentral:rRNA from 1 species
GACGAACCGUGCGAACGUUGUUCGGAAUCACUGGGCUUAAAGGGCGCGUAGGCGGUCUGCCAAGUCGGUGGUGAAAUCUUUCGGCUUAACCGGAAAAGUGCCAACGAUACUGGCGGACUUGAGGGAGGUAGGGGCAGAUGGAACUUCCGGUGGAGCGGUGAAAUGUGUUGAUAUCGGAAGGAACGCCGGUGGCGAAAGCGAUCUGCUGGACCUCUACUGACGCUGAGGCGCGAAAGCCAGGGGAGCAAAC